rnacentral:sRNA from 1 species
CCUACCGCCUCCACCAACAACAUGAAUCUAUCAGA